CAAAAUCUAGCUUAAAUUAAAGCAUCCAAUUUACAAUUGGAAGACGCCGUCUACCACGGCCUUUUUGA
rnacentral:tRNA from 1 species